rnacentral:rRNA from 1 species
CAUGCCGUAAACGUUGGGAACUAGAUGUAGGGUCCAUUCCACGGAUUCUGUGUCGCAGCUAACGCAUUAAGUUCCCCGCCUGGGGAGUACGGCCGCAAGGCUAAAACUCAAAGGAAUUGACGGGGGCCCGCACAAGCGGCGGAGCAUGCGGAUUAAUUCGAUGCAACGCGAAGAACCUUACCAAGGCUUGACAUAUACGAGAACGGACUAGAAAUAGUCAACUCUUUGGACACUCGUAAACAGGUGG